rnacentral:rRNA from 1 species
UGGGGAAUUUUGCACAAUGGGGGAAACCCUGAUGCAGCGACGCCGCGUGAUUUAGAAGGCCUUCGGGUUGUAAAAAUCUUUUCUAUGGGAAGAAAAUGACAGUACCAUAGGAAUAAGGACCGGCUAAUUACGUGCCAGCAGCCGCGGUAAUACGUAAGGUCCGAGCGUUGUCCGGAAUCAUUGGGCGUAAAGGGUACGUAGGCGGGUAAGCAAGUUAGAAGUGAAAUCCUGUAGCUCAACUACAGUAAGCUUUUAAAACUGCUCAUCUUGAGAUAUGGAAGGGAAAGUGGAAUUCCUAGUGUAGCUGUGAAAUGCGCAGAUAUUAGGAGGAAUACCGGUAGCGAAGGCGACUUUCUGGCCAUAAUCUGACGCUGAGGUACGAAAGCGUGGGUAGCAAACAGG